UAACACCAGCCCCUCGAGUGGUGGGGACUUUUAUUUGGCCUAAAGCGUCCGUAGCUGGCUGUUUCCGUCCCCCGUUAAAUCCAGCGUCUCAAGCGUUGGACUGCGGGUGAUACCAAACAGCUAGAGGGUGGGAGAGGUCAGCGGUAUUUCUGGGGUAGGGGCGAAAUCCUUUGAUCCCAGGAGGACCACCAGUGGCGAAGGCUGCUGACUAGAACACGCCUGACGGUCAGGGACGAAAGCUGGGGCAGCGAACCGGAUUAGAUACCCGGGUAGUCCCAGCUGUAAACGAUGCUCGCUAGGUGUUGGGUCGGCCAUGCGCCGCCCCAGUGCCGCAGGGAAGCCGUUAAGCGAGCCGCCUGGGGAGUACGGCCGCAAGGCUGAAACUCAAAUGAAUUGACGG
rnacentral:rRNA from 1 species